rnacentral:rRNA from 1 species
GCCCAGAGUUUGAUCCUGGCUCAGGAUGAACGCUGGCGGCGUGCCUAACACAUGCAAGUCGAGCGGAGCAGUUGCCCGGAAAUUUUCGGAUGGAAAGGCAGCAACUUAGCGGCGGACGGGUGAGUAACGCGUGGGCAACCAACCUUGAUCAGGGGGACAACAUUGGGAAACCAGUGCUAAUACCGCAUGACUCUACAGGACGGCAUCGUGGUGUAGAGAAAGAUUGUAUCGGAUCAAGACGGGCCCGCGUCUGAUUAGCUGGUUGGUGGGGUAACGGCCCACCAAGGCGAUGAUCAGUAGCCGACCUGAGAGGGUGACCGGCCACACUGGAACUGAGACACGGUCCAGACUCCUACGGGAGGCAGCAGUGGGGAAUAUUGCACAAUGGGGGAAACCCUGAUGCAGCAACGCCGCGUGAGCGAAGAAGCCUUCGGGUCGUAAAGCUCUGUCCUAUGGGAAGAANAGUGACGGUACCAUAGGAGGAAGCCCCGGCUAACUCGUGCCAG